UUAUCCGUUUCAGAUUUAUUUUAUUUUGUUUUUUUAAAAUCACAACUAAAUGCUUCAGAUCAACUAUUAAUAUCAGACAGAUAACCUGAAUAAAUAUUAAAAGCAGAUUUCAAACAAUGAUUUUAUUUAAGAGAAAGGGUUA
rnacentral:pre_miRNA from 1 species